AGAUUGAACGCUGGCGGCAUGCCUAACACAUGCAAGUCGAACGGGAGUAGCAAUACUCUAGUGGCGGACGGGUGAGGAAUACGUAGGAAUUUGCCCUUAAGUGGGGGAUAACCCGGGGAAACCCGGAUUAAUACCGCAUGACCUCGAAAGAGCAAAGUGGGGGAUCGCAAGACCUCACGCUUUUGGAGAAGCCUACGUCGGAUUAGCUAGUUGGUGAGGUAAUGGCUCACCAAGGCGACGAUCCGUAACUGGUCUGAGAGGAUGAUCAGUCACACCGGAACUGAGACACGGUCCGGACUCCGUACGGGAGGCAGCGAGGUGGGGAAUAGUUGGAACAAGUCGGGCGCGAAGCCUAGACUCCAGACAAUCGGCCGUGUGUGGUAGAAAGGAAGGUCCGUUUACGGGUUAGUAAACG
rnacentral:rRNA from 1 species